rnacentral:rRNA from 1 species
AACGAACGCUGGCGGCAUGCCUAACACAUGCAAGUCGAACGAGACCUUCGGGUCUAGUGGCGCACGGGUGCGUAACGCGUGGGAACCUGCCCUUAGGUUCGGAAUAACUCCCCGAAAGGGGUGCUAAUACCGGAUAAUGUCUUCGGACCAAAGAUUUAUCGCCUUUGGAUGGGCCCGCGUUGGAUUAGCUAGUUGGUAGGGUAAAAGCCUACAAGGCGACGAUCCAUAGCUGGUCUGAGAGGAUGAUCAGCCACACUGGGACUGAGACACGGCCCAGACUCCUACGGGAGGCAGCAGUGGGGAAUAUUGGACAAUGGGCGAAAGCCUGAUCCAGCAAUGCCGCGUGAGUGAUGAAGGCCUUAGGGUUGUAAAGCUCUUUUACCCGGGAUGAUAAUGACAGUACCGGGAGAAUAAGCUCCGGCUAACUCCGUG